CCUUCGAUAGCUCAGUUGGUAGAGCAGGGGACUGUAGCGCUUAUAUCAGGCAUCCUUAGGUCGCUGGUUCGAAUCCGGCUCGAAGGA
rnacentral:tRNA from 1 species